rnacentral:tRNA from 1 species
AAAGCUUUAAGUUAAAUAAACUAUUAACCUUCAAAGUUAAAAAUAUAUUAUGAUAUAAGCUUUA